rnacentral:rRNA from 1 species
GGGGGGGGGGGGGGGGGGGGGGGGGGGGGGCGGGGCGGGCGGGCGGGCGGGAAGCGUGCGUCGCUGGGGGUAGCGGCGGGCGGGUGAGUAACGCGUGGAUAACCUACCUGUCAGACUGGGGUAACUUCGGGAAGCCGUAGCUGAUACCGGAUAAUAUUUUGAACCGCAGGGUUCAACAGUGAAAGACGGUCUUGCUGUCACUUAUAGAUGGAUCCGCGCUGCAUUAGCUAGUUGGUAAGGUAACGGCUUACCAAGGCAACGAUGCAUAGCCGACCUGAGAGGGUGAUCGGCCACACUGGAACUGAGACACGGUCCAGACUCCUACGGGAGGCAGCAGUAGGGAAUCUUCCGCAAUGGGCGAAAGCCUGACGGAGCAACGCCGCGUGAGUGAUGAAGGUCUUCGGAUCGUAAAACUCUGUUAUUAGGGAAGAACAUAUGUGUAAGUAACUGUGCACAUCUUGACGGUACCUAAUCAGAAAGCCACGGCUAACUACGUG